rnacentral:rRNA from 1 species
CCCUUAGAUGGUCUGGGCGGCACGCGCGCUACAAUGAUGCAUUCAAAAAGUCUUCUGACCUUAGAAGGUUGGGUAUUCUCCAAAGUGCAUCGUGAUGGGAAUAGUUUAUUGCAAUUUUUAAUCUUGAACGAGGAAUUCCUAGUAAGUACAGGUCAUCAACUUGUGUUGAUUACGUCCCUGCCCUUUGUACACACCGCCCGUCGCUCCUACCGAUUGAGUGGUCCGGUGAGGCUUUGGGAUCUGAGCGGAAAGAGCGUUUCGCUGUUUCUGCUCGGAAAACUCAGUCGAACCUUAUCAUUUAGAGGAAGGAGAAGUCGUAACA